rnacentral:rRNA from 1 species
AGAGUUUGAUCAUGGCUCAGAAUCAACGCUGGCGGCGUGCCUCAGACAUGCAAGUCGAACGCGAAAGUCCCCUUCGGGGGAUAAGUAGAGUGGCGCACGGGUGAGUAACACGUAGGUAAUCUACCUUCGGGUGGGGAAUAACCCAGGGAAACUUGGGCUAACACCGCAUAAUGCAGCGGCACCACAUGGUGACAGUUGUUAAAGCGGGGGAUUUUCGGACCUCGCGCCUGAAGAGGAGCCUGCGGCAGAUUAGCUAGUUGGUAAGGUAACGGCUUACCAAGGCGACGAUCUGUAGCCGGCCUGAGAGGGCGGUCGGCCACACUGACACUGACAUACGGGUCAGACUCCUACGGGAGGCAGCAGUCGGGAAUUUUGGGCAAUGGGCGAAAGCCUGACCCAGCAACGCCGCGUGAAGGAUGAAAUCCCUCGGGAUGUAAACUUCGCAAGAAUGGGAAGAAUUAGUAGGGGUUAAUACCCCCUAUGAUGACGGUACCAUUUGUAAGCUCCGGCUAACUCCGUGCCAGCAGCCGCGGUAAUACGGGGGGAGCAAGCGUUGUUCGGAUUUACUGGGCGUAAAGGGCGCGUAGGCGGCCAGCACAAGUCGGUUGUGAAAUCUCCGGGCUUAACUCGGAAAGGUCAACCGAUACUGUGCGGCUAGAGUGCGGAAGGGGCAACUGGAAUUCUCGGUGUAGCGGUGAAAUGCGUAGAUAUCGAGAGGAACACCUGCGGCGAAGGCGGGUUGCUGGGCCGACACUGACGCUGAUGCGCGAAAGCCAGGGGAGCGGACGGGAUUAGAUACCCUAGUAGUCC